rnacentral:rRNA from 1 species
UACAUGGGGUGCAACCGUUGCUCGGAAUUAUUGGGCGUAAAGCGCGCGUAGGCGGUUACCUAAGUCGGGUGUGAAAGCCCUCGGCUUAACUGAGGAAGUGCACCCGAAACUGGGUAGCUAGAGUACUAAAGAGGGUCGCGGAAUUCCCGGUGUAGAGGUGAAAUUCGUAGAUAUCUGGAGGAACACCGGUGGCGAAGGCGGCAUCCUGGACCGACACUGACACUGAGGAGCGAAAGCCAGGGGAGCAAACGGG